rnacentral:lncRNA from 1 species
UAUGCUGUUAGGGCGCAACUGAGUAGUCUAGUGUUGUUCCGAUUUUGGUUCUUGUGAAGAUUGACAUCGAUUCGUUCCAAAUUUACACUCUCGGGGCAUAAUAGAACAAUAUAAUUAGCUUUUACACUUUGUUCGAUUGAAUGAGAAAAAGUACUAGUUGCAAAGUUAUACUGUUGGGGCGCAACAGAGUAGUCUAUUGUUGUUCCGGUUUUGGUUCUUGUUAAGGUUGACAUCGAUUCGUUCCAAAUUUACACUCUCGGGGCAUAAUAGAACAAUAUAAUUAGGUUUUACUCUUUGUUCGAUCGAAUGAGAAAAAGUACUCGUUGCAAAGUUAUACUGUUAGGGCGCAACUGAGUAGUCUAAUGUUGUUCCGGUUUUGGUUCUUGUGAACGUUGACAUCGAUUCGUUCGAAUUUACACUCUCGCGGCAUAAUAGAACAAUAUAAUUAGGUUUUACACUUUGUUCGAUAGAAUGAGAAAAAGUACUCGUUGCAAAGUUAUACUGUUAGGGCGCAACUGAGUAGUCUAAUGUUGUUCCGGUUUUGGUUCUUGUGAACGUUGACAUCGAUUCGUUCCAAAUUUACACUCUCGGGGCAUAAUAGAACAAUAUAAUUAGGUUUUACGCUUUGUUCGAUUGAAUGAGAAAAAGUACUCGUUGCAAAGUUAUACUGUUAGGGCGCAACUGAGUAGUCUAAUGUUGUUCCGGUUUUGGUUCUUGUGAACGUUGACAUCGAUUCGUUCCAAAUUUACACUCUCGGGGCAUAAUAGAACAAUAUAAUUAGNNN